AAAACAACUACCAGCUCCGCGAGUGGUCGGGACGAUUAUUGGGCCUAAAGCGUCCGUAGCCGGCCUAGCAAGUCUCUGGUUAAACUUCAAGGCUUAACCUUGAGAUUGCUGGAGAUACUGCUAGGCUAGGGGGCGGGAGAGGUUGAGGGUACUUCACGGGUAGGGGCGAAAUCCUAUAAUCCGUGAAGGACCACCAGUGGCGAAGGCGCUCAACUGGAACGCGCCCGACGGUGAGGGACGAAAGCCAGGGGAGCAAAGGGGAUUAGAUACCCCCGUAGUCCUGGCUGUAAACGAUGCGGGCUAGGUGUUGGGUUGGCUUCGUGCCAACCCGGUGCCGCAGUGAAGGCGAUAAGCCCGCCGCCUGGGAAGUACGGCUGCAAGGCUGAAACUUAAAGGAAUUGGCGGGGGAGCACCACAAGGGGUGAAGCCUGCGGCUUAAUUGGAGUCAACGCCGGGAAUCUUACCGGGAGCGACAGUAGUAUGAAGGCCAAGCUGACGACUUUGCUAGACAGACU
rnacentral:rRNA from 1 species